UUCGGCAGCCCCUACACCUUGCUCAAAUUGGAACGAUGCAGCGGAGGUUAGCAGGGCGCCUGUGCAAGGACAACACACAAAUUCGUGAAGUGUUCCACCUUUAA